rnacentral:rRNA from 1 species
UACGUAGGGUGCAAGCGUUAAUCGGAAUUACUGGGCGUAAAGCGUGCGCAGGCGGUUAUGUAAGACAGAUGUGAAAUGCCCGGGCUUAACCUGGGAACUGCAUUCGUGACUGCAUGGCUAGAGUUUGGCAGAGGGGGGUAGAAUUCCACGUGUAGCAGUGAAAUGCGUAGAUAUGUGGAGGAACACCGAUGGCGAAGGCAGCCCCCUGGGUCAAGACUGACGCUCAUGCACGAAAGCGUGGGGAGCAAACAGG